rnacentral:rRNA from 1 species
UACGGAGGAUGCAAGCGUUAUCCGGAAUGAUUGGGCGUAAAGCGUCCGCAGGUGGCUAUGUAAGUCUGCUGUUAAAGAGUCAUGCUCAACAUGAUAAGAGCAGUGGAAACUACACGGCUAGAGUGCGUUCGGGGCAGAGGGAAUUCCUGGUGUAGCGGUGAAAUGCGUAGAGAUCAGGAAGAACACCGGUGGCGAAAGCGCUCUGCUAGGCCGCAACUGACACUGAGGGACGAAAGCUAGGGGAGCGAAUGGG